UACAGAGGGGGCAAGCGUUGUUCGGAAUUACUGGGCGUAAAGGGCGCGUAGGCGGCCUUCUAAGUCGAACGUGAAAUCCCCGGGCUCAACCCGGGAACUGCGUCCGAUACUGGAAGGCUUGAAUCCGGGAGAGGGAUGCGGAAUUCCAGGUGUAGCGGUGAAAUGCGUAGAUAUCUGGAGGAACACCGAUGGCGAAGGCAGAUCUCUGGGCCGUAACUGACGCUGAGGAGCGAAAGCAUGGGGAGCGAACAGG
rnacentral:rRNA from 1 species